ensembl:lncRNA
CGCUCUUCUGUUGAUCCAGUACUCGAUUUAUCCGUUCAUUUGGUAAUCUGGAAAGGUGCCCCUGCUUAAAGGCGCCUACCAGAAUGGAAAUAAUGCUUUCUGGAACGGGCACGUUUACUGUCACAACGGGAUUCUCUGCCUACAGCCGACGUGAGGAUGCUGCCCCUGCCCUCCAUCCUCUUCCUCUUCCUGAUGUCAUUGACCAGAGUUCCUCAAGUGCUCCUCUGCACUCUAGCAAGGCACGGAGUUUGACUUGUCUGCUGUCUCUGAUUGCAGCUCUGCAACCCUUCUCCUGCCUAUGAGAUGCUUCCUCCAGCACCACCUGUGCAUGGGCAGGCAGCCCACCAGCCUCAGCUUCAGAGCAAGGAGAAGACGGUUAAGAACAACAGCAGGGGCUAGAAUGGCUGUGAGAAGUUUCUUACAGCAUCAGCAAGGAGCUGAGAAUCACCUUUUAAAGUCUGCCUGCAGAGAAAGGACAGAAGAUUCAGUUAGACGUGAUUUGCAGAGCUAUCAAAUGGGAUGCGCACAUUCUGAGUGACGUGGAAGAAAAUAUUCCACAGCUAGAGGAGCUGGUCUGAGGCUGUGAAGAUGUGUGUAUGAUGAUGGAUCACCUGAAAGAUCACAGUCCAAGAAGGUCAGAAAAUCAUGUUACAGCUGUGUUAGGGAACAGCACUUUGCACGUGGUUACAACGUAGACCAGAGAAUGAGGGAUCCGAACAGUUCAUCUCCACUCCAGCCAGCUGGUCGGGACGUGUCAGCCUCUCUGAAACUCAGCUCACGGCCUCAUAAUGUGGUGAUAGGAAUCCUACCUACCUGCAGCACCGGGUCCCCAGCUCUACCCUGAAGGAAAGCAUCUUCCAAGCUGAACUGAGAGCCGAAGGAUUUCCCUCGCCUUUUCCUUCAUGUUCCUGAAUCCCCAGAGGUUUGUCAUCAAACAUCCUCAUUCGUGACCCCCAAGGAAAAGGUCUUCUCAACAAGUCCUGUUUUAAUAACUCUUAUUGUCCCAACCUGCUUUCUGAAAAAGCAAAAGUGUCUUUAUGACCACACCUGUUCUGUAUCACCUGUCUGACUUUUCUUCAGUAGCCACCAAUGCUGUGACGUGAGUAUAUGUAGAAAACCCUUAGUUAUCAUUUCCUUUCUGAAACUGUGUCCUCUUCCUACCUUUUCUUCUUGAAGCUGAGCUCACAGUGCUCACUGAGGACAUGACUUCUGAUUUCUCUGGUGCAUAACGCGUCGGUAUUCUCUGUAUCCUGGCCUUUUGGCUCUGGGGCAAAUGUUUAAACACCACAGAUGCUUUGAGCAGAUGUGUCCCAGAGUUUGAUCACGCUGAGCUGAUUGAAAUGACCCGUGUGUUCUCAGGCUUCCUUCCCCUCGCCAAAUGUUAAUGUUUUUGUCCUCUGGGGCAAAUUAUUCCAAUCAGUACCGGAACUGAUGCAAUAUCAAUACAGGUACCAGCACCAGGUGUGAUACCAGAACCACUCAGGGCUGGAAAAGCCAGGCUGGCAAACUCACUUCUGUGAUGAUAAAACAUAGGGACAACUUCUUCCCAUUACUGAUAACAGAGAAUUGCCCGAACACAGAGAAAAUGAAAGAAAGUACAGUGUGACUUCACCUGCUUGAAGGACACCUGUGUUGGCUGCAUUUGGAAGCUGGUAAUGCCCACAGAAGUAUUGAGGAAGAGCAGACUGAGUCCUGAUAGCAGCCCUGUGGGCAGAUCUGUGGAUCGUGUUUCAAACAGGUUUUUUUUUUGGCUCUGAUGAGCACAUGGGAUUGAAACUUAUAAGAAGAGGAGAGUGGAUCUGGAAAAACAUGGACGGAGGGGAAACUUCUUCUCUCCACAGAAGUCCUUCAAGGUGUGACUGCUGUCUUUGAUUCCAGAGGAAGGUUUGUAAGGAACAGCUGUUGUUUAGAGGAGAUGAGGAGUUUUAAAAUGUGUGUAUUUGUUUUCAGCUAAACCUUCCUGUCUUCUUCCUCUUCCCAUUGCGGCCAUGCACAGCCCUCCUCCAUGCUUGUCUCCCUGGGUAGGAGCAUCAAAGUCUCAGAGACUGUCAAAGAAAAUGUAACGAAAACCUAUCAUUUGCCCACAGCUUUUAAGUCCGGUUUCAACUCUUCUGCUAAAACAUAAAAAUGCACAGCAGAGCUUUGCAAUACUUUCAAAGAAGACAGAAAUACUGUUUUUUUUUCUAUUUUCAGGGCUUUUUAGCUGAUUCCAUCAGGUGCCACAUUCCUACCUCUAAAGUGUUGUCAGUCAAAUCCAAAUUGAUUCUGCUGAGAUCCCCCUCCCAUGUUGUCAUUUUUUAGGUAGAAGGGCUGCUUCUCAGUCUCUUCUUUCCUGGAGACUCAGCAGUUUCAGAAAUCAGUUGUUUGAAGAGGUCCCAAACAAACACCUGUGCCUAGGAACCUGAACUGGUCCUGUAAGCUUCCCAUGGUGAGACCUAGACUCUCCAAGGACAACUUGGUCUACCAAAGGUAUCUGUAGACGUCUGAAUUAUGAAAGGAUUGAGAGGAAACUCCAAACCUGUAUGACGUUGUUCUUGCAUUUGCUGACCAUCACAAGUAGCCAAAUCAGUCCUACUAUGGCUUGGAUCCUGUAUCUUGUAACCCUGGGCUCUGAACCUGCUGGUGAGCAGCUGCAAGUGGGAAAGAUGGUGCAAAACAAGGAGCACGACUGUUGGGCUAAGAAGAAAGCUUGGACACUUUCAGAAUUGUAAAGGAAAAUGGAAAGAACCUCAGAAACAUCCUUGUCACAUGGAAGAAUAAAUGAAGAUUAAAGAUAUUUAACUCCCUUAGUUACCCAGGGCACAAUUUCACCCUAAUGUACUGUGAUUCUGAUUUGCUAUGAAACCUUAGGCCACAAUAGAAAAGAAAAUGUUUUAUUACGGUCUUUUUUUUGUAUUUUUAAUUUUUUUUUUCAGAUUUUCUUGCUCUAGCUGUGAACACCUGGAAACCCAGGCAGCAUCAGCAAAGCUCAGUGCUGUUCUUGUGCUCGUCAGCCCGUGAGAGAAGCUGACUGAAGACUGUGGUGACUGGACCACAACUGCCCCAGCACAUUUAAUUUCAAGAGAGAGUCAGCUGUUUUGUCAGCAUUCUGUGAGUUGUAGUACGAACCAGCUGGCAGUUAUGCUUCUUGAAAGCUCGCUAAGUGGGAGUAGCAUGGCUGCCCAACGUGGUCUGGGUGUCAUGGUCAUGUCAAUUAGCCUAUGACCAGUGCUUAUGUUCCUCAUUCUAGGUUGAUGGUUGGACUAGAUGAUCUUAGAGGUCUUUUCCAGCCUUAAUGAUUCUGUGAUUCUAUUCUAUGAUUUUCCCAUAGGUGUGUUGUUGUUUCAUUAAGAGACGUAAUGAGGUGUUUUAGGAAGGGAUUUGUUUGUUUGUUUUGCCUUAUCUCAUGGAAUUCCCUUGUUUUCUGGGUUGCAUUUCAAUUCCAAAUUUUGUCUGGAUUCAGCCUUGAAGGGGUGUUUCAUAUUAGAUCUAUGGGAAGAAUUGAACACUACAAAAUGUGUGUUCAGAGAUGAACAGCAAUCAGCUUGACAGUUGCGUUUGACCUAAAGGAAUGAGCUAAUCUAUUCUUGGUAGUUCAGGUUUUGGGUAUCAUAGAAUUCUUACACAGGACAAGUUUGCUGGCUCAUUUUCCUGGUGUAUGCAAUAAGGAUAUAUAUUUAUUCUAGAAAAACACUUAGCCAGAAGGAACACAACAUGUAGUGAAAGAUAAAUUAUGCAGAUAAUGUUCUAUUAUGCACACAGAGUAAAAAGUACAAGGGACAUGAAUUUCCCCAGGGAGACACCUCAGAGCGGGGGAGGCUGGGACAACACAAAAAAAUAAAAUAAAAUAAGGAAAAAGAGGAAGAGGAAAAUGAAUUGACUGUAGUUAGGUCUGGCAGAUUUUGCUUAAAGGAGGAGGAAGACUGAAUGAGCAAAGAAUUGUACCAGGGGGCAAGUCCCUCUAAAGAAAUGGCUGUGUAUUGGCUAUGUCACUUGUCAAGGUCACUGCUCUUACUCAUGAGGACAGGGCUUUGACCCUGCAGGUAUUUAUGGGGCUUGGAGUGGGUGACUGGGAAGUGUAAAAAGCAUCAGUGUAGAGUAGAGAACAGCUGGCAGCUUCUCUUCCCUCCAGGCUUUCCCUGUGUUCUAAGGUGGGGAAUGCAGAAGCUUUUUGAGUUCUGGUUUGUGCAAUAUGGCCCAGUGAGGUCUGGCAGCAUGCAUUCCUGUGCGUUGUGAAGCAGUGCAAGAUCUCUGCAGCAGACAAAGCAACCCCUGCUCUUCUCAGAGAUGGACACGGAAGCCUUGCUGAGAGUGGAAUAAUAACUAUUUUGAGCAUCAGAACGUGGAGGGAGUCUGAGUGGGCAGUAACACUGCAUCAGGAACAAGAAGGCAACAGCAAGAAGUUGUUUCUCUCUUGUUCACCCCUAAAGCUAUACCUUGCAUCAGCAGGUCUCAAAGCUGGCGGUUUUGAAUCAGUCCCUGCUGCUGCUUGCUCUGGUGCUCAGUUCCACUGCAGCAGUCCUUCUGACAUGUUUGUGCUUCUCUUCACAGUGCAGCAGCCUGAAUUGUACUUAAGUGGGCAAAUUAAGGGAAUAAGGGGCUCAUUUAGUGAUGCUGUAUGGAGAAUUCUGUCUCCUGCAGACCUGGCCAAUGUGAUCAGAAGAACUCACAGGUGAUAUUGGACCAAAAGUAUGUUCAGGUGUGGGCCCCACCUCACCCCACUGUCCAAGAAGACUGUUAAUGUUGAGGAUUGUCUCUAGAAGCCACAUCCAGAAAGUGUUUCUGCUCCUUUCGCUGUGGAAUGAAAGCUGUACAUCACAAACUGGGACAGUAAGGAAUAACCAGCCUACCUGGCAGCAAUGAGAAACAUCCCUGAUGGCUUCCUUUGGCCAAGAGCAGCUAAUCACAAGCUAAAAUUCCUAUAAUGCAGGAGAUAGGAAUGCACGGCACAAGGAGAGCUCAUGACCUGAGAAACAGGAUCUACACGUGCAAGUCUCUACACCUGCUCUUGAAAGAGAUAAGAGUUGGGUCAUGGCUUGGAGAAAUAAGAAAAGCAAAAAGGAGGAGGAACAUGAUUUCCUUUGCAGGUGACAGCUUUGGCCGGUGCAGUUCAGUGGCAGAGCUGUGGCUUUGGGAUUAGCACAGUGUUGUCCUGUGCCUGAAUUGCCCCUGGCCUGGGAGAACCUCUGUGAUGCCUUGAGCCUCCACUGGAAAGUGCUCAGAGACAUAGAUGGUAUGAAAAACAGCACAUUCAAGCCAGAAAGAGGACGGGAAAGAGGACUGCAGAAGGGACCAGAAUACUUAACAGUCAGCAAAGCGAACAUGUAACUUGAUCUGGGAGGAAACGUUGCAGGUCUUUGGGGAAGCUGAGUUGUGUGGUAUUAGCCAAGCUCAUUCUGUAUUCCCUCUGCCUGUAUUAUUUCCCUAGCACCAAGCCAACUAACAGAAACUGUUAGUUUGUAUGCGUUUAAAUAAACAGUAACUGUAUCUCCA